rnacentral:rRNA from 1 species
UCUUGGAUCGUCGCAAGACGUACUACUGCGAAGGCAUUUGCCAAGAAUGUUUUCAUUAAUCAAGAACGAAAGUUAUGGGUUCGAAGGCGAUCAGAUACCGCCCUAGUCAUAACCGUAAACGAUUCAAACUGGGCGCCCGUCGGUGUUUUUAUUGACCCGACGGGGACCCUCCCGGAAACGAAAGUGUUCGUGUUCCGGGGGAAAUAUGUCUGCAAAGAGGAAACUUAAAGGAAUUGACGGAAGGGCACCACCAGAGGUGGAGCCUGCGGCUUAAUUUGACUCAACACGGGGAAACUCACCCGGCCCGGACACCGUAAGGAUUGACAGAUUGAGAGCUCUUUCUUGAUUCGGUGGGUGGUGGUGCAUGGCCGUUCUUAGUUGGUGGAGUGAUUUGUCUGGUUUAUUCCGAUAACGAACGAGACUCUGGCCUGCUAACUAGUGUUCAGAUCUUUACGUCUGCUUCGCUUCUUAGAGGGACAGGCGGCUUCCAGCCGCAUGAAAAAGAGCAAUAACAGGUCUGUGAUGCCCUUAGAUGUCCGGGGCUGCACGCGCGCUACACUGAAAGAAUCAGCGUGUACGUUACCUGGCUCGAAAGGGUCGGGUAAUCCGGUGAAAAUCUUUCGUGAUUGGGAUCGGGACUUGCAAUUAUUUCCCUUGAACGAGGAAUCUCUAGUAAGUGCGGGUCAUCAGCUCGCGCUGAUUACGUCCCUGCCCUUUGUACACACCGCCCGUCGCUGCCCGGAACUGAGCCGUUUCGAGAAAAAUGGGGACUGUCUACUUGAGGUCUUCACGGACUUUUUGUAAAUGGAAACCGCUUUAAUCGCAGCGGCUUGAACCGGGC